rnacentral:rRNA from 1 species
GACGGGGGAUGCAAGUGUUAUCCGGAAUAAUUGGGCGUAAAGCGUCUGUAGGUGGUUUACCAAGUCUGUUGUUAAAAAUCAGGCUUAACCCUGAUCCGGCAACAGAAACUAGUAGGCUGGAGUACGGUAGGGGCAGAGGGAAUUCUCGGUGUAGUGGUGAAAUACGUAGAUAUCGAGAAGAACACCAAUAGCGAAAAGCACUCUGCUGGGCCG